rnacentral:lncRNA from 1 species
AUAAUUGCUUGCUGUUAAGAGUCAGCUAAGGAUGCCUGUUGAAAAUAGACUCCACGCCCCCUUCCCUUCGAAGGCUGAUUCUGCAGGUAUGGUGGGACUCUGGGGCUCCUUAUCAUUGGGAAGGUUUAAGAAACAUUUUAUUUCUUGACUCUUAAUGUUGGAUGGAUAUUGGAAUCACUUGGGGAGCUUUACAAAAGUAGCACUGGGGCCGGGCACGGUGACUCAUGUCUGUAAUCCCAGCACUUUGGGAAGCCUAGACAGGCAGAUCAUGAGGUCAGGAGAUUGAGACCAUCCUGGCUAACACGGUGAAACCCCGUCUCUACUAAAAAUACAAAAAAUUAGCCGGGCGUGGUGGCGGGCACCUGUAGUCCCAGCUACUCGGGAGGCUGAGGCAGGAGAAUUGCUUGAACUCAGGAGGUGGAGCUUGCAGUGAGCCGAGAUUUCGCCAGUGCACUCCAGCCUGGGCGAUAGAGUGAGACUCCAUCUCACACACACACACACACACACACACACACACAAAGUAGUACUGGGCCUGGGUCCCACGGAAGAGAUUCUGGCUUAGUUUAUGGUGUGGCCCGGGCAUUUGGAUUUUUUGAAGCUUCCGGGUGCUUCUAAUUUGCAGCCAAAGUUUAGAACCGCUGACUUGAUUGAAACAAUAGCCAGUUAUCUGUAACAUAUGUGAAAGCAAUAUCUAACAUUUCCAUUAAGACAUACAAAGUGCUUUUACAGAUGUGUGUCUUAUUUGAAUCCUUGACAACCUGGUGAAGUAGGUUAGAGUUGGUUAUUAUCUUUCCUUUACAGGUAAGCGAACUAGACUUCAGAGAGGUGAAGUAGUUUGAUGGAGGACCACUCGCAGCAGAAUUCUGGAACUGCUGAGGUGUACCUUAGGCAUGCUACUACCUCACUCUCUAUGUGCCCUGGCUCCUACUAGCUCUCCGGCUUUCCCAGCCUCCCUUUAAAAGAAAAGAAAAGAGGCCAGGCAUGGUGGCUUACACUUGUAAUCCUAGCACUUUGGAGGCUGAGGUGGGAGGAUCACUUGAGCCUAGGAGUUCAAGACUAGCUGGGGCAACAUAGUGAGACAUCAUCUCUACCAAAAAAAAAAAAAUUAAAAAAAAAUUGGCUGGGCAUGGUGGUGCACACCUGUAGUCCCAGCUACUUGGGAAGCUGAGGUGGGAGGAUCACUUGAGCCCAGGAAGUUGAGGCUGCAGUGAGCCAUGAUUAUGCCACUGAACUCUAGCCUAGGCAAUAGAACAAGACCCUGUCCAAAAAGAAAAGAAAAGCUCUCUUGUUUCUAGAGCUUCUCUUACGUUGGAAUUGUUAUUGAUAAUAAUACAACAGCAGUAGGAGCUAACAUUGGGCCCUUUGUAUACAUUGUGCUAAGAGCUCUACAUGCAUUAUCUUAAUUGUCUUGAAGACUCUGUGAGGUAGGUCAUAUAUGUUAUAUCCCCAUUUUAUAGCGUAGGAAACUGAGUCUUAGAGAGUAACUGGCUUGCUAAGGGUCAUAUUCCUAUGCAAACAUUCUUCUUAUUUUAUCUAAGCCUUUUCUUAUUUUCCGUUCAGUCAACCAAAUUUCAGCAAGUGGCAGAGAGGAAAAGAAUCAGGUAAAGUAUUUCUGAGCUGGGCACGGUGGCUCACGCCUGUAAUCCCAGCACUUUGGGAGGCUGGGUGGAUCACCUGAGGUCAGGAGUUCGAGACCAGCCUGGCCUACAUGGUGAAACCCCGUCUUUACUAAAAAUACAAAAAAUUAGCUGGGCGUGGUGGUGGGCACCUGCAAUCCCAGCUACUCAGGAGGCUGAGGCAGGAGAAUUGCUUGAAUCUGGGAGGCGGAGGCUGCAGUGAGCUGAGAUUGUGCCAUUGCACUCUAGCCUGGGCAACGAGAGCAAAGCUCUGUCUCAAAAAAAAAAAAAAGAAUUGCUGAAUACGCGAUGAUUGACAAUGACAACUUCCUUGAAUUGUAUUACCACUUCUAAUAUGGGGACUGGAUUUUUAAAGAAACUUCUGGAGCCAGUCACGCAAAAGCAUGAGGAUCUAGUGCUUGAAGGAUUCAGUUGGAGAAUCAUGGGUUGUUAAUUCCUAACUAACCCUGCCUUUCCAGAGACAGCAGUAGUUCCCUGAAUUAAGGCCUAGAUCUGGCAUCAGAAGGCUUGGGCACAGGUCUCAGAUGGCUUUUUUUAGCUGUGGGGUCUUGAGCCAGUCCUAUCCAGGACAAAGUUUUAUGUUCUGAGUGAAUCAGGCCAAGUUGGAACAUUAAUCAAUGCUCUUAUGUCUACUUUUCUAAGGUUUGCAAAACGCUGAGCAUAUUUUUUUGUGGUCUCAGUAUUCAGAGCUCAAAGUACAUCAGGUGAAGAACCUGGAAUCUACAAGUUCAAGAGGCAUGGGGAGCACCUUGGUGAGGUCCACAAACUCUUUGCAGAAGUUCAGCACAAUUUUAUGGUGCUAAAAAGAGAGUGAAAGAUGUAAAAGAACAGAAUUUCUUUAUCCAUCCAAUAUAUUUAUUUUCCUUCCUCCCUCCCUCCCUCCGUCCCUCCUUCCCUCCCUCCUUCCCUCCCUCCUUCCCUCCCUCCUUUUUCUUUCUUGGCAGGGUCUUGUUUUAUCACCUAGGCUGGAAUGCAGUGGAACCUGCUUAGCUCACUGUAGCCUUGAACUGCUGGGCUCAAGCAGUCCUCCUGUUUUGGCCUCUGAAGCAACUGGGACUACAGACGGAGUCUGGUUCUGUCGCCCAGGCUGGAGUACAGUGGUGCGAUCUGGGCUCACCUCCAUCUCCCGGGUUCACGCCAUUCUCCUGCCUCAGCCUCCCGAGUAGCUGGGACUACAGGCGCCCACCACCAUGCCCGGCUAAUUUUUUUGUAUUUUUUAGUACAGACGGGGUUUCACUGUGUUAGCCAGGAUGGUCUCGAUCUCCUGACCUCGUGAUCCACCCGCCUUGGCCUCCCAAAGUGCUGGGAUUACAGCCACGAGCCACCGCACCUGGCCCCCAGCUUAAUUCUUGUUUUCUCAAACUUGGCAACCAAACCCAACCCAAACCAAACCGUACCAAAACACUACCCCCUUCUCACUAACAUGUCUUCCGAAAGAAAAAAGUCCCUUCAGUUAUUAAGAGCUACACUGCCAGUUCUAUAACUCAACCUUACUAAAGAACCCCAGGAGAGACAACCAGUAAUGCAUUUACUAUGGGAUAAUUAAUUGUUCUAACUUAAUGCUUCCAAAUCAGUAAUCACUUGUGUUAGAUUGACCUUUUGUAUCUCAAAGGUGGGAAACCGUCUAGCCUCAAGCGGAAGUUCUCUGGUCUCUAUCUUUGUAUCACUUUUCAAUUGCAGCAUAAUGAUGAACAGUAUCCAUGCUAUAAUACCAAGAACCGAUUUUAUUAUUAGCAUCUACAACUUAAUUGCAGGCUACCUGGUGUUAUCUGCUCUUCCUUGAUAGAACCGUAUUUGAGAGAGGAAAACAAUCAUUUGGGAACCGUGUUUGUGUCGAGAAAGAGGAGUUAGUGCUAUUUGUUUUCAUAAGCAGAGAGGAAGUUAUCAACCCUGCAGAUUCUAAAAUUCUAAAUCUCAAGAGCUUUUAACAUUUCCUCUUUAAGGCAUCAAGCAGCUGUUUCUCUUGGGAGGGCUCCUGGAAACCAACUGAGUUGAACAUGGGGUAAUGGAAUGUGGAUUUGAAAAAGGAAUACCAAGAUACAGCUUGUAAUCUUUCUCUCUCUCUCUCUCUCUCUCUCUCUCACACACACACACACACACACACACACAUACACACACACACACACACACACACACAUGCCCCAGGCCUCAGGCCCCAGGCCCCAGAACCUGUGAACAGCUUAGGGCAAAUGAAGUUCUUUCUUCCUUACAGCCAGGCAAAGCAAGAAUCCACUCUGUCAGGUGGCUUUUCUCAUGUCGCCCUUGGGGCCUAUGCUUAGAGAAGCCCUGUGGCCGGCAGCACAGCUGUGACCCAGUUGCCCUGAAAUAGGAGCAGUCAGACACGUGGCCCCAGGAGAAACAACAGCAGCAACAACAACAGCAGGAGCUUCUUCUCCAAACUGCUGCACCCUCUUUAAGAGGGUCUUCCCUAUUAAAGAAACGGAGGCCUACAAUGUGUACCUUCCUCUGCCUCCCACUAGAGCUGCAAACAACGCCUUAGCACCCAGGAACACUGGCCCACUCUCUAAAUGUCUGUGACAUUUGUAUCAUCAUAAUAACCCUUUAUAAUAAAACAACGUCCUACCGCUGGGUGUGUUCAUCCAUCAAUAUGUGCAUGUAGUAUUCUGAU